rnacentral:rRNA from 1 species
CCUACGGGUGGCAGCAGUGAGGAAUAUUGGUCAAUGGACGAGAGGCUGAACCAGCCAAGUAGCGUGAAGGAUGACUGCCCUAUGGGUUGUAAACUUCUUUUAUAUGGGAGUAAAACAGGGUAUGCAUACCCUCUUGUAUGUACCAUAUGAAUAAGGAUCGGCUAACUCCGUGCCAGCAGCCGCGGUAAUACGGAGGAUGCGAGCGUUAUCCGGAUUUAUUGGGUUUAAAGGGUGCGUAGGCGGGCUGUUAAGUCAGCGGUAAAAGCCCGGGGCUCAACCCCGGCGGGCCGUUGAAACUGGCUGGCUAGAGAUGUCGAGAGGUAUGCGGAAUGCGCAGUGUAGCGGUGAAAUGCUUAGAUAUUGCGCAGAACUCCGAUUGCGAAGGCAGCAUACCGGCGGCGAUCUGACGCUGAGGCACGAAAGCGUGGGUAUCGAACAGGAUUAGAUACCCUUGUAGUC